UAGGGAAUAUUGGUCAAUGGACGCAAGUCUGAACCAGCCAUGCCGCGUGCAGGAUGACGGCCCUCUGGGUUGUAAACUGCUUUUAUAUGGGAAGAAACCCCGGGAUGCGUUCCGGGCUGACGGUACCAUAUGAAUAAGGAUCGGCUAACUUCGUGCCAGCAGCCGCGGUAAGACGAAGGAUCCAAGCGUUGUCCGGAUUUACUGGGUUUAAAGGGUGCGUAGGCGGAAAAUUAAGUCAGUGGUGAAAGCCCGCAGCUCAACUGCGGAACUGCCAAUGAAACUGAUUUUCUUGAAUACGGUUGAGGUAGAUGGAAUAUAACAUGUAGCGGUGAAAUGCUUAGAUAUGUUAUAGAACACCAAUUGCGAAGGCAGUCUACUAAGCCGUCAUUGACGCUGAGGCACGAAAGCGUGGGGAGCGAACAGG
rnacentral:rRNA from 1 species